GCCGCUGCCACCCUCUCCAGCUCCUCACAAAAACCCUACCCGUGAGCCACUCCGCCGUCUACCGUCCGCCGCCGACGCCAUCGCCGCCGAUAAGCUCACCUGAGCGGUGAAAUCAGACCACCAUCUGCUCCUCUCCAUCCUCAUCGUCUUCACGGAGCCGGAUAGCCUGCAGCAGCUCGAGACCGUCGAUGUCUGCAUCAUCUACUCGGCCACCUCCUUCUUCUUCAUCUCCGGCAGCUCCUCCGCCGCUCCCUUCUCGUCACCGAUCACCCCAGGGUAUGAAGAUAUGUUCGAUGAAGACGACGUUAGGAAGGUUACCCUUCCGGCUUGGCCUGGGCAGGGUUAUGGACGCCACUGAUUAUCUUCAGGACCCUUAGUCCAAAUUUGUAUCUUGUCCGUACUCGGAUGUAUUUGAUCUUCUGUAUGAUUUGGAUCUUAUGUUGUAUAUUUGUAUCUUGA